CAGAGUUAUCCAACUCCCAACCCAUGUGAACUUAUCUCUUGUUGCCUCGGCGCAAGCGACCCGGGCCCAGCCCGGGGCGCCCGCCGGCGGACACACCAAACUCUGUUAUCUUCGUUGAUUAUCUGAGUGUCUUAUUUAAUAAGUCAAAACUUUCAACAACGGAUCUCUUGGUUCUGGCAUCGAUGAAGAACGCAGCGAAAUGCGAUAAGUAAUGUGAAUUGCAGAAUUCAGUGAAUCAUCGAAUCUUUGAACGCACAUUGCGCCCAUUAGUAUUCUAGUGGGCAUGCCUGUUCGAGCGUCAUUUCAACCUCUAAGCACAGCUUACUGUUGGGAAUCUACGUCUGUAGUUCCUCAAAGACAUUGGCGGAGCGGCAGUAGUCCUCUGAGCGUAGUAAUUUUUUAUCUCGCUUCUGUUAGGCGCUGUCGUCCCGGCCGUUAAACCCCCAAAUUUUUCUGGUU
rnacentral:rRNA from 1 species